GUUUCUGGGAAGAAAGGAGCAGGCUCUUGAAGAGAAGGAGGUGCAGUCCCAACCCAUCAAAAUAGACCUUUGCUGGAACUGCUGGAAGUGUUUUUCUGCGCUUGGGUCAAGACGCACGCCCUGCUGCGGCAGUGCCCUGCAACACCUCUUUCGCCCCUGCACCCCAGUCCACAUGGGGUGGGAACAGGGCAGUUGCAACCAAAUGGAGCAGAGCCGGGUGCCAGGCACGUCCCAGACCUCGGAGACUGGGACCUUCAUGCCUACUGCAGGGUGUGCUAUCACUGGUUUUCAGUGGAGUCAGAGGCAUUUGUCUGGAGAAAGGAAGCCUUUUACUUCAAGA
rnacentral:lncRNA from 1 species